rnacentral:rRNA from 1 species
CACGGGUGAGUAACACGUAUCCAACCUGCCGUCUACUCUUGGACAGCCUUCUGAAAGGAAGAUUAAUACAAGAUGGCAUCAUGAGUCCGCAUGUUCACAUGAUUAAAGGUAUUCCGGUAGACGAUGGGGAUGCGUUCCAUUAGAUAGUAGGCGGGGUAACGGCCCACCUAGUCUUCAAUGGAUAGGGGUUCUGAGAGGAAGGUCCCCCACAUUGGAACUGAGACACGGUCCAA